UCUGAACCUUCGGGGAACGAUAACGGCGUCGAGCGGCGGACGGGUGAGUAAUGCCUAGGAAAUUGCCCUGAUGUGGGGGAUAACCAUUGGAAACGAUGGCUAAUACCGCAUGAUGCCUACGGGCCAAAGAGGGGGACCUUCGGGCCUCUCGCGUCAGGAUAUGCCUAGGUGGGAUUAGCUAGUUGGUGAGGUAAGGGCUCACCAAGGCGACGAUCCCUAGCUGGUCUGAGAGGAUGAUCAGCCACACUGGAACUGAGACACGGUCCAGACUCCUACGGGAGGCAGCAGUGGGGAAUAUUGCACAAUGGGCGCAAGCCUGAUGCAGCCAUGCCGCGUGUGUGAAGAAGGCCUUCGGGUUGUAAAGCACUUUCAGUCGUGAGGAAGGUGGUGAAGUUAAUAGCUGAAUUAUUUGACGUUAGCGACAGAAGAAGCACCGGCUAACUCCGUGCCAGCAGCCGCGGUAAUACGGAGGGUGCGAGCGUUAAUCGGAAUUACUGGGCGUAAAGCGCAUGCAGGUGGUUUGUUAAGUCAGAUGUGAAAGCCCGGGGCUCAACCUCGGAAUAGCAUUUGAAACUGGCAGACUAGAGUACUGUAGAGGGGGGUAGAAUUUCAGGUGUAGCGGUGAAAUGCGUAGAGAUCUGAAGGAGUACCGGUGGCGAAGGCGGCCCCCUGGACAGAUACUGACACUCAGAUGCGAAAGCGUGGGGGAGCAAACACGAUUAGAUACCCUGGUAGUCCACGCCGUAAACGAUGUCUACUUGGAGGUUGUGGCCUUGAGCCGUGGCUGUCGGAGCUAACGCGUUAAGUAGACCGCCUGGGGGAGUACGGCUCGCAGGAUUAAAACUCAAAUGAAUUGACGGGGGGCGCGCACAAGCGCUGGGAGCAUGUGGUUUUAAUUCGAUGCAACGCGAAGAACCUUACCUACUCUUGACAUCCAGACAACUGUGCGUAGAUGGAUUGGUGCCUUCGGAACUCUGAUACAGUGCUGCAUGUCUGUCGU
rnacentral:rRNA from 1 species